UCCAUACAUUGUAAUCAAAACAAUACACAUACGAUUGUGUCCUACUACUGGUUAUGUUAUAUAAAAUAUGUUGCUGACUAGAAAUCGCUAGUGAAAGCUAACGUCAACGGUAAGUAGCCGCUAGCUAGCUAACGCUAACGCUAGCUAGAAGGGUUUGUGGUGACGUCGCCUGGAAUGCUACCAAGUCGUGAGUCGUGACUUGAAGUCGUAUCUUACGGAAUAAAAACUGUGUCUGGAACGCAGCAUUAUUGUUACUCCAUGAAAACA